AUGGCCCGUAAGCCCAGCCCCAGCCGCGGCUACGCUGCCCACCCGGCACCACUGCCCCGGCUCGCCCCAUCACCCGCAGCGGCCGCUCCUCGGGGGUGCAGCCCCGGAGCCCACUUGGCACCGCACGCGGGCUCAGGAAGGUGCCCGGGCCAGCCCCUCCCCCCACCCUCUCCAGGCUCUUGGCCCUGGGAGAAAUUAGCAUGUGAAUGCGGCUCCUUCCCGGAGGAGCCUCGGCUGGGGCGGGGGCGGGGGCGUGGGAGCAAGGGGGCCUCCCACCCGCCUGGGCCUCCAGGGUCCGACGAGCCCCGGCCGCGGCGAGUGGGAGAGGCCCAGCACCCCCGAGGCUGGAGGUCACUGCCCAGCCCCGCGUGGCCCCGGGGGCGGCGGAAGUACGAGCGGAGGGCUCUGUGCGGCCUCUGCGGAAGUGAGUAACCCACCCUGCAGGUCGGAGCCGGUGUGUGAGCUGCGGAGCGCGGGAGCGAAAGGCCCUCCCUGGGAGGGAGGGGGCAGCGGCGGGGGCUUGCUCCAGGUUUGCCUCCCCCAACUGGGGGGUGGGGGUGGGCGGGAACUGUCGGCCUCCUGUGGCCCCCACAGCAGCCUAGAGCUCGCUUUGCUGGUCUGGCCGGGGCAGAGGCUGGGAAAGGAGACCCCUGCCCCCUCCCUGGCCUUAGGGUGUCCCGGGUCCCUGAGCCAAUGAGAAGAGGAGACCGGGUGGGGCCUGUCCCUCCCAGGUAAAGGGCAGGGCUCGGGGACUCAGAUGCAGCUGUGCCCUGUGGCCCUGUGGCGGGGAACCACGCUGUGCGCGGACGUGACCCCGUCUG
rnacentral:lncRNA from 1 species